rnacentral:rRNA from 1 species
CCUACGGGAGGCAGCAGUGGGGAAUAUUGCACAAUGGGGGAAACCCUGAUGCAGCGACGCCGCGUGAGCGAUGAAGUAUUUCGGUAUGUAAAGCUCUAUCAGCAGCGAAGAAAAAGACGGGACCCGGCUAAGAAGCCCCGGGUAACUAAGUGCCAGCCGCCGCGGUAAUACGUAGGGGGCAAGCGUUAUCCGGGUUUACUGGGGGUAAAGGGGGGGUAGACGGCGGUGCCAGCCAGAUGUGAAAGCCCGGGGCUCAACCCCGGGACUGCAUUUGGAACUGUGGUGCUAGAGGGUCGGAGAGGCAGGCGGAAUUCCUAGUGUAGCGGUGAAAUGCGUAGAUAUUAGGAGGAACACCAGUGGCGAAGGCGGCCUGCUGGACAGUAACUGACGUUGAGGCUCGAAAGCGUGGGUAGCAAACAGGAUUAGAUACCCUGGUAGUC